GAUGGAAGAACGUAGCGAAAUGCGAUAAGUAGUGUGAAUUGCAGAAUUCAGUGAAUCAUCGAAUCUUUGAACGCACAUUGCGCCCUUUGGUAUUCCAAAGGGCAUGCCUGUUCGAGCGUCAUUUGUACCCUCAAGCUUUGCUUGGUGUUGGGCGUCUUGUCUCUAGCUUUGCUGGAGACUCGCCUUAAAGUAAUUGGCAGCCGGCCUACUGGUUUCGGAGCGCAGCACAAGUCGCACUCUCUAUCAGCAAAGGUCUAGCAUCCAUUAAGCCUUUUUUUCAACUUUUGACCUCGGAUCAGGUAGGGAUACCCGCUGAACUUAAGCAUAUCAAUAAGCGGAGGA
rnacentral:misc_RNA from 1 species